rnacentral:rRNA from 1 species
GAUGAACGCUGGCGGCGUGCCUAAUACAUGCAAGUCGAGCGAACAGACGAGGAGCUUGCUCCUCUGACGUUAGCGGCGGACGGGUGAGUAACACGUGGAUAACCUACCUAUAAGACUGGGAUAACUUCGGGAAACCGGAGCUAAUACCGGAUAAUAUAUUGAACCGCAUGGUUCAAUAGUGAAAGACGGUUUUGCUGUCACUUAUAGAUGGAUCCGCGCCGCAUUAGCUAGUUGGUAAGGUAACGGCUUACCAAGGCAACGAUGCGUAGCCGACCUGAGAGGGUGAUCCGCCACAACGGAACAGGAACAAGGUCCCGGCCCCUACGGGAGGCAGCAGUAGGGAAUCUUCCGCAAUGGGCGAAAGCCUGACGGAGCAACGCCGCGUGAGUGAUGAAGGUCUUCGGAUCGUAAAACUCUGUUAUUAGGGAAGAACAAAUGUGUAAGUAACUAUGCACGUCUUGACGGUACCUAAUCAGAAAGCCACGGCUAACUACGUG